CACGCUGGGAAAUGUGGUUUCCGGGUUGUCCAUGCAGGCUAACGGAACGGACACAAGGUGGCGCCCAAACGUCGCGGUCGAUGUGGCAGGAGGAAGAUGAGUCUUGGGGCCCAAAAUAUGCCAUAGAGCGGGCAUUACUGUCCAGAAGACAUCUUCACUUUUGGAACAGGCUUGGUCUUGUCCAGGUCUGUAUCAAGACACCUGGGAAUUGUGAGGAAAUUGCUGGGAGGAAUGAGCAGCUACCCUCCAUGGCCAGCUAA